AAGUACAAGUCGUAACAAGGUAUCCGUAGGUGAACCUGCGGAUGGAUCAUUAUCAAUGAUUACACCCCUACGUUUUGUGAACUGUCUUGAAUUCAACCGUCAGUUUUCUAGGCGCGUCUUAGGAUUUUAGAGGCUGAUGGUUACCGUACAAUGUACAUUAAAUUUACCUAACUGAAGUCUAGGAGACUACCUAACUAAAAACAACUUUUAGCAACGGAUCUCUUGGCUCUC
rnacentral:misc_RNA from 1 species